UACAGAGGUCCCGAGCGUUGUUCGGAUUCACUGGGCGUAAAGGGCGCGUAGGUGGCGAGGUAAGUCGGAUGUGAAAUCUCGGAGCUCAACUCCGAAACUGCAUUGGAAACUACCUGGCUAGAGGUUUGGAGGGGGGACUGGAAUGCUUGGUGUAGCAGUGAAAUGCGUAGAUAUCAAGCGGAGCACCAGUGGCGAAGGCGAGUCCCUGGACAACACCUGACACUGAGGCACGAAAGCUAGGGGAGCAAACAGG
rnacentral:rRNA from 1 species